CCAGUGACUUUGUUCAACGGCCGCGGUAUCCUAACCGUGCGAAGGUAGCGUAAUCACUUGUUCUUUAAAUGAGGACUAGUAUGAAUGGCACCACGAAGGUUAUACUGUCUCCUUUCUUUAAUCAGUGAAACUAAUCUCUCCGUGAAGAAGCGGGGAUAUAAUUAUAAGACGAGAAGACCCUAUGGAGCUUUAAACGUGAGUAACAAUUGCCCGCCAUAAUAUUUUUCCCCGGAAACUAACCGCAAUACUUAGGCAUCUUGAUUACAAGUUUUAGGUUGGGGUGACCGCGGAGCAGAAAAUAACCUCCGCAGUGAAUGGAACUUACUUCCUAAACCCAGGGCUACGACCCUAAGCAUCAAUAAAUUGACACUAAUUGACCCAAUAUUUUUGAUCAAUGAACCAAGUUACCCUAGGGAUAACAGCGCAAUCCACUUCAAGAGCCCCUAUCGACAGGUGGGUUUACGACCUCGAUGUUGGAUCAGGGUAUCCCAGUGGUGCAGCCGCUACUAAAGGUUCGUUUGUUCAACGAUUAAAACC
rnacentral:rRNA from 1 species